rnacentral:rRNA from 1 species
UUUUUUUUUUUCAACAUAAGCGGAGGAAAAGAAACCAACAGGGAUUGCCUUAGUAGCGGCGAGUGAAGCGGCAAAAGCUCAAAUUUGAAAUCUGGCUCUUUCAGAGUCCGAGUUGUAAUUUGAAGAAGGUAUCUUUGGGUCUGGCUCUUGUCUAUGUUUCUUGGAACAGAACGUCACAGAGGGUGAGAAUCCCGUGCGAUGAGAUGAUCCAGGCCUAUGUAAAGUUCCUUCGAAGAGUCGAGUUGUUUGGGAAUGCAGCUCUAAGUGGGUGGUAAAUUCCAUCUAAAGCUAAAUAUUGGCGAGAGACCGAUAGCGAACAAGUACAGUGAUGGAAAGAUGAAAAGAACUUUGAAAAGAGAGUGAAAAAGUACGUGAAAUUGUUGAAAGGGAAGGGCUUGAGAUCAGACUUGGUAUUUUGUAUGUUACUUCUUCGGGGGUGGCCUCUACAGUUUAUCGGGCCAGCAUCAGUUUGGGCGGUAGGAGAAUUGCGUUGGAAUGUGGCACGGCUUCGGUUGUGUGUUAUAGCCUUCGUCGAUACUGCCAGCCUAGACUGAGGACUGCGGUUUAUACCUAGGAUGUUGGCAUAAUGAUCGUAUGACC